AGGAAGAGGAGGAAGAACAGGAGAAGGACCUAGAACUGCUUCUGGGGUUACCCGAUGGAGGCGACAAGAAAAAGGAGGAAGAAAAGCACCUCCCCUCCCACAGGACAUAUUUGGGUCAUUCUGUCUCAUUUCAUUGCAUAGUGAGUCCAUUGCCAGUGUUGCAAGUUGGGCCAUGACCCACUGAAAACCUCUGGACAUCUUUUAUGAACAGACACACAGAGGAUCCAAUGAGUCUUUGAAUUAUGAAUUCAUCAAAAGCAUAUAAUGGACUUCUAAGACAUGAACGGGCAUGGAAUUUCUGGUGAAUGAAGCAACAUUUUUUAGACAAAUGGUUCCUAUUUUUGAUUGCCACCCCCACCCUCCUCUGCGAAGUGACUGAGUUGGUUCCGUUUCACUCACAAGAUAUUGAAUUUGAGGAGCUGCACAGCAAGGCUUUCACAGAAACCCUCGAUGGCAAACUUGGAGGCAGCAUAGACAUCAUUGAAAGGGAUACCUGGCAAAGAAGUAGAAGGGGUGUAAGUUUUCAAGACACAUUUUUACCUCAUUUGAAAGAAGUACGUCUGCUUUUAAAUUAUGUUUCUUUUAAAAUAAUGGAAAAUGUCAACCAUGCAACAUUGAAUAAAAACUAAUUAAAAAAGAACAAAAUGAGAAUUGCCUAGACAUUCCCCCAAAGAAGAGGAGAGAUCUGCUUCAGUUAAUUUAGUAGAUCACCUACCUAACACAUCCAGCUGUUUCUCAGGAAGGCUGUUAACGCAUUCAGCUACAGAUUCAUCACUACAGACAUCCAGGCGCUGAAUGGUGAGGGUCUGGUUGAGUGUGUCCCCCGCUGCUGCCUCCAGCUUGUCCUUUUUGCGCAGGUCACGCAUUGUGGCAAUGACUAGAAGGAAGAAAGAGCUUAAAUGCAAGUUGCUCAUUCUAUGGAUGGGGGAGGCUGAGACGUUAAAAAGUGGACGACAAGAAACUUUUAUACAAGGAAGGUUAGAAUUACUUAUUAAGAUAUCUAAAAUAACUUGAAGAACAUAGUAACAAUGAAGUGAAGGCGAUGAUGAAAAAAUUGUCCCAGUAUCCUUGCAUAUAUUAGUCAUUGCACUGGAAACCUGGAACAGGUUUAUCUUUGACUUGAAAACAUGCGUGGAAUGCAGCACUAGCAAUUUUCUUAGGUGUCCGUAGUUAUAUAGUCUAAACUAAAAAAAGUUGACUGAGA